rnacentral:rRNA from 1 species
GACGAACGCUGGCGGCGUGCUUAACACAUGCAAGUCGAACGGAAAGGCCCUGCUUUUGUGGGGUGCUCGAGUGGCGAACGGGUGAGUAACACGUGAGUAACCUGCCCUUGACUUUGGGAUAACUUCAGGAAACUGGGGCUAAUACCGGAUAGGAGCUCCUGCUGCAUGGUGGGGGUUGGAAAGUUUCGGCGGUUGGGGAUGGACUCGCGGCUUAUCAGCUUGUUGGUGGGGUAGUGGCUUACCAAGGCUUUGACGGGUAGCCGGCCUGAGAGGGUGACCGGCCACAUUGGGACUGAGAUACGGCCCAGACUCCUACGGGAGGCAGCAGUGGGGAAUAUUGCACAAUGGGCGGAAGCCUAAUGCAGCAACGCCGCGUGCGGGAUGACGGCCUUCGGGUUGUAAACCGCUUUCGCCUGUGACGAAGCGUGAGUGAUGGUAAUGGGUAAAGAAGCACCGGCUAACUACGUG